rnacentral:misc_RNA from 1 species
GAAAUGCGAUAAGUAAUGUGAAUUGCAGAAUUCAGUGAAUCAUCGAAUCUUUGAACGCACCUUGCGCCCUUUGGCUAUUCCGAAGGGCAUGCCUGUUUGAGUAUCAUGAACACCUCAACUCCUCAUGGUUUGCCAUGAUGAGCUUGGACCUUGGGGGUAUUGCUGGCCCUGUGGUUGGCUCCUCUCAAAUGGAUCAGCUUGCCAGUGUUUGGUGGCAUCACAGGUGUGAUAAAUAUCUACGCUUGUGGUUUUCCACCAUGUAACCUUCAGCGAUGAAGGUGCGCUGGAGCUCACAAAUGUCCCUCCUCAGCGAGGACAGCUUUUGAACGUUUGAUCUCAAAUCAGGUAGGAUUACCCGCUGAACUUAA